rnacentral:rRNA from 1 species
GACAGAGGGUGCAAACGUUGCUCGGAAUCAUUGGGCGUAAAGGGCGUGUAGGCGGGAAGGAAAGUCAGAUGUGAAAUCCCCAGGCUCAACCUGGGAACUGCAUUUGAAACUCCCUUUCUUGAGUACCGGAGAGGAAAGUGGAAUUCCUGGUGUAGAGGUGAAAUUCGUAGAUAUCGGGAGGAACACCAGUGGCGAAGGCGGCGAUCUGGGUCGAUACUGACGCUGAGGUGCGAAAGCGUGGGGAGCAAACAGG